rnacentral:lncRNA from 1 species
UGGGGUGUGGUUUCGGUUUCGACGGCGGAAAGGGUUUGGUGGUUUUUGGUUGUGCGAGCUUGAGCUCGUGGCGGUGGAGAUCGUGCGGAAGGUUUUGUGGUGUGUGCGACUGAGAGAGACAGAGGGUUUAAGGUUGAAGGUGAGUUACGAUGAAGAAGAGGGAAAGUUCUAUUUUUUUAUUUUUUCCUCUGUUUUUUUAGAGAGUGAAAGAUGAGGGAUUUUUUUCAGAGAGAGAUGUGAGUAGUGAAUGGUGUCUGCGAGAGUGAGGGAGUUGGGUGAUUCAAAUAGGGAUUCUCCUUUUUCUUUUUUUUCUUUUUUUCUUUUCUUUCGUACAGUAGAGAGAGAGGAGAGGUAAUGGAGAGUGAGUGGAGCAGACAGAAAUUGUAGUGGAGAGAGACGUUAGGAUUAGAGAGAUUUUUUUGUUUUUUAUGUGGAGGGAAUCCAAUGCAACAAUAAUAUAUUUUAAUUGCUAUAAUAAAUAAAAACUAACUAAUAAUUAAUUUAAAUUAUAAAAUAAAACUCUAACUAAUGUUUUAAAAACUAACUAAUAUUUUAAAACUAACUAAUAAAAAAACUAAUUAAUAUCUAAAUUAACUAAUAUUUAAAAACUAACUUAAUAUUUAAAAAACUAUUCUAAUUUCUUUUAAAAAAAUAUCAAAA